AACUGAAGAGUUUGAUCAUGGCUCAGAUUGAACGCUGGCGGCAGGCUUAACACAUGCAAGUCGAGCGGAUGAAGGUAGCUUGCUACUGGAUUCAGCGGCGGACGGGUGAGUAAUGCUUAGGAAUCUGCCUAUUAGUGGGGGACAACGUUCCGAAAGGAGCGCUAAUACCGCAUACGUCCUACGGGAGAAAGCAGGGGACCUUUGGGCCUUGCGCUAAUAGAUGAGCCUAAGUCGGAUUAGCUAGUUGGUAGGGUAAAGGCCUACCAAGGCGA
rnacentral:rRNA from 1 species